rnacentral:rRNA from 1 species
UGGGGAAUAUUGCACAAUGGGGGAAACCCUGAUGCAGCGACGCCGCGUGAGCGAAGAAGUAUCUCGGUAUGUAAAGCUCUAUCAGCAGGGAAGAAAAUGACGGUACCUGACUAAGAAGCCCCGGCUAACUACGUGCCAGCAGCCGCGGUAAUACGUAGGGGGCAAGCGUUAUCCGGAUUUACUGGGUGUAAAGGGAGCGUAGACGGCAAUGCAAGUCUGAAGUGAAAGGACGGGGCUUAACCCUGUGACUGCUUUGGAAACUGUGUAGCUUGAGUGCCGGAGGGGUAAGCGGAAUUCCUAGUGUAGCGGUGAAAUGCGUAGAUAUUAGGAGGAACACCAGUGGCGAAGGCGGCUUACUGGACGGUAACUGACGUUGAGGCUCGGAAAGC